UGAAGCGGGAAGAGCUCAAAUUUGAAAUCUGGUGGCCUCAGGUCAUCCGAGUUGUAAUCUAUAGAAGUGUUUUCCGUGCUGGCUCAUGUACAAGUCCCUUGGAACAGGGCGUCAUAGAGGGUGAGAAUCCCGUCCUUGACAUGAACUACCAGUGCUCUGUGAUACAUUUUCAACGAGUCGAGUUGUUUGGGAAUGCAGCUCAAAAUGGGUGGUAAAUUCCAUCUAAAGCUAAAUAUUGGCGAGAGACCGAUAGCGAACAAGUACCGUGAGGGAAAGAUGAAAAGCACUUUGGAAAGAGAGUUAAACAGUAUGUGAAAUUGUUGAAAGGGAAACGAUUGAAGUCAGUCGUGCUCUUUGGAUUCAGCCGGUUCUGCCGGUGUACUUCCUUUGAGUGGGGUCAACAUCAGUUUUGAUCGCUGGAUAAAGGCUGGAGGAACGUAGUACCCUCGGGUAAACUUAUAGCCUCCUGUCACAUACAGUGGUUGGGACUGAGGAACGCAGCACGCCUUUAUGGCCGGGAUUCGUCCACGUACGUGCUUAGGAUGUUGACAUAAUGGCUUUAAACGACCCGUCUUG
rnacentral:rRNA from 1 species